AGAGAAGAUCGGACGGUCGCCGGCCGUGGCAACACGGCGGGAGGAAAGUCCGGGCUCCGCAGGGCAGGGUGCUGGCUAACGGCCAGGGGGGGCAACCCCACGGAAAGUGCCACAGAAACAUACCGCCGCCGCAAGGCUGGUAAGGGUGAAACGGUGAGGUAAGAGCUCACCAGCGGCGCGGGUGACCGCGUCGGCUAGGCAAACCCCACCCGGAGCAAGGCCAAAUAGGAGAGCGAUCGGACGGCCCGUCCGUGCUCUCGGGUAAGGCCGCUCGAGACGCCGGGUAACCGGCGUCCUAGAGAAAUGACCGUCGCCCUGGGUCACAUGCUCGGGGGACAGGACCCGGCUUACAGAUCCUCUCUGGCG
rnacentral:RNase_P_RNA from 1 species